CCUACGGGAGGCAGCAGUGGGGAAUAUUGCACAAUGGGGGAAACCCUGAUGCAGCGACGCAGCGUGAGUGAAGAAGUAAUUCGUUAUGUAAAGCUCUAUCAGCAGGGAAGAAAAUGACGGUACCUGAGUAAGAAGCCCCGGCUAACUACGUGCCAGCAGCCGCGGUACUACGUAGGGGGCAAGCGUUAUACGGAUUUACUGGGUGUAAAGGGAGCGUAGACGGCAGUGCAAGUCUGGAGUGAAAGGCGGGGGCUCAACCCCCGGACUGCACUGGAAACUGUACGGCUGGAGUGCAGGUGAGGUAAGUGGAAUUCCUGGUGUAGCGGUGAAAUGCGUAGAUAUUAGGAGGAACUCCAGUGGCGAAGGCGGCUUACUGGACUGUAACUGACGUUGAGGCUCGAAAGCGUGGGGAGCAAACAGGAUUAGAUACCCCAGUAGUC
rnacentral:rRNA from 1 species